GCUUUUGUGGUGUAACGGUAGCACACUCGGCGCGUAAUCGAGAAGUCCAAGUUCGAGUCUCGUUGAGGGCA
rnacentral:tRNA from 1 species